UCAACAGGGGAUUAAUUUUUGUCAUAUAUACGUGCAAACCUCCCAUGAUUUUAACAAUCUUUCUUUCCAAGAUUAAUUCUGAAAUAUAAAUUCCAUACCUGUCAAAACUUUUCUCCUGGAGUUACUCACUGACCUGACAUCUUCAAAAAGUUCACAAACUCAGCAGCCAUUCUCAUUUCAGACAUAAAGAUGACAAUGAAAGUCAUCAGAGUUUGGAUGCAGCCAAGGGUUUGGGUCAGGAUCUCUAGAUGGUGACAAAUAAAUCUUGACCAAGUCAAAAUAGUUUUGGAAGACAAGAGGGGACACUUGAACAAGCUCCAGCCCCCAUCACCAGCUACUGGAGAAAAUGUCCUGGUAGAAACAAACAUUUCUCUGCCAGAGCCAGUUUGUGUUGACCUUCAGGCUUUGCUGGGAACGUGUUUUACUUCUGCUGAAAUUGAUGAGCAACACCAAUCAGCACCAAUCAGCACCAAUCAGCACCAAUCAACACCAAUCAGCACCAAUCAGCACCAAUCAACGUGGUGGAAAACUUGGUAGAAAUGCAACUGCGCUUGGGAAUUCAGCUUUCUUGUAAAAUUAUUCUGAUGUGCUCGGAGAAUAGAUGCAAGAUCAACACAACGUUAUGCACAUACAGUAAGUUCAUUUGUACCCUUUUUAAGAAGUAACUUUUAAGUUCUGUAUUUUUAUAUAGCAUAUACAUGUGUUCAGUUAUUUAUUAAAAAAAUACAGUCCGUAGGGAAAAUCUUGAGCCAAUGCACAAGAGUUUGAGUUGGUAGGUAAAAAGUCCCAUUUUUUUAUUAGCCCAUGACGUUAUUUAUUAGAAAUUAGCUAAUAGUUUGUGAGAUGUAGAGAAGAAUAUAAAAAUGUUGGCAGGUUUCUUAGCUUUAUUGAGUGACUUCAAAAACACUUCAGGAGCUAUUAGAGAGACUUUCUUGCUACAAUGGAAAUAUUGCAAAGGAAUUUAAAAGCUCCGUUGCAAAUACAGUCAGAAUAAAAGGGGCAGGUGUAAAAAUCUCCCCCCCAUGGCUGUUCCUGUCUCAGAAGCUCCUGCUUUGCAGGCAGCUGAGAUCUCUGUGCUCAGGUUUGAAUCUUAUUAAAUGUGCUGGGCUGUAAAAUGAUGUUUCAAGAGCACUUGAGCCAUCUGUGCAGAGGGGGAAGGCCAGACACAUGUGGGUGUCAGCCUGAUUUUAAUCUGCUUUAGUGCAUGAAUCAGGGAGGCAGCAUUUUUAAUACUUUACAGCUCAGGUAAAACUGACUCACGUUUCUCUGGGCAAUGGAUUGGUACCACUAUAGCCUCUGGGAUUUCCCCUGCUAAAUAUCAAAGGCCUGCAACAAGCAGCAGAGGUGUUAACGCUUCCCAAAGAAAGAGUCUUUUAUAAUGGAAAGUAUUAGUCAGCCAGAACACACAGGAGCCUUUUCCAGGUUUUUACAACGGCUUACCUGAAGUCUCUAAUCCAAUAUUCCACAUUUUACUCCCCAUGCCUGAUGGGGAGGUCGCUGCCUUUGGGGCAGGCUGCACUGCAGGUAGCAAGGUUAAUUUACACCAAGGCCAUUCAGGGCUUCACAGGGCAGAUUAAAACACGGCAUUUAUUUGAUUUGUACUUGUGCUGUGGAGCUGCACUUGCUGGCCAAGAAUAUGACCUGCAAGUCCUAAAUUCCCACCACUUACAUUUUGUAAGGUAAAAUCAACUGUGGGGUCAGACCAAAUGGGAUGAUAACUUAUUCGUGAAGAACUAUUUUUGAAAUUUUUUUAAAAUAAUUGCUCUUGGUUAUGCUGCUAAAUGACACUCUAGAGUUUUAUUCUGUUGUUGCUUAAGUACCUGGUUUAUUUCAUUAUUAUUUACAGAGUUUGCAUUCACACAAGGGGUUGGCAAAGAUAGUAAGUUACAUCCAUUUUUUUGGUCAGUAGUAACUUACAGUUUUGUAUUAGUUUGUAUACAGAGGUUUUGCUAACACCCGUUUAUCUAGUAGACAACAGUAGUUAGCAAAGAAGAAUUUCAGGGUUUUUUCAGGGGUUUUUCAGAUUUGAUGGCAAAUUUUUUAAUAA